CAAUUGGAGGGCAAGUCUGGUGCCAGCAGCCGCGGUAAUUCCAGCUCCAAUAGCGUUUACUAAAAUUGUUGCGGUUAAAAAGCUCGUAGUUGCAUUUGUGCGCCGCGCUGUCGGUGCACCGCAUCCGCGGUGAUACUGACACGUUUGCGGAGCAUAUCGUCGGUGAGCCGACGGUAAAACGUCGGUUCAAUAUCAAAAUCCUAUCGCGGUGCUCUUCAGUGAGUGUCGAGAUGGGCCGACAAUUUUACUUUGAACAAAUUAGAGUGCUCAAAGCGGGCUCAAAAUGCUGCUUGAAUAUUUCGUGCAUGGAAUAAUAGAAUAUGAUCUCGGUUCUAUUUUGUUGGUUUUCAGAACUCCGAGGUAAUGAUUAAUAGGGAUAACUGGGGGCAUUCGUAUUGCGACGUUAGAGGUGAAAUUCUUGGAUCGUCGCAAGACGAACAUCAGCGAAAGCAUUUGCCAAAGGUGUUUUCAUCAAUCAAGAACGAAAGUUAGAGGUUCGAAGGCGAUUAGAUACCGCCCUAGUUCUAACCGUAAAUAUGUCAUCUAGCGAUCCGCCGACGUUACUACAAUGGCUCGGCGGGCAGCUUCCGGGAAACCAAAGAUUUUGGACUCCGGGGGGAGUAUGGUUGCAAAGCUGAAACUUAAAGGAAUCGACGGAAGGGCACCACCAGGAGUGGAGCCUGCGGCUUAAUUUGACUCAGCACGGGAAAUCUCACCAGGCCCGGACACCGGAAGGAUUGACAGAUUAACAGCUCUUUCUUGAUUCGGUGGGUGGUGGUGCAUGGCCGUUCUAUUG
rnacentral:rRNA from 1 species